rnacentral:rRNA from 1 species
UACAGAGGAGCCAAGCGUUGUCCGGAUUGACUGGGCGUAAAGCGCACGCAGGCGGUUGCGCGCGUGGGGUGUGAAAUCUGGCCGCUUAACGGCCAGGCGCCAUCCCAUACGGCGCGACUGGAGUGAUGCAGAGGUCGAUGGAAUUGCCGGUGUAGUGGUGAAAUGCGUAGAGAUCGACAGGAACACCCAGGGGGAAACCAGUCGACUGGGCAUCUACUGACGCUGAGGUGCGAGAGCGUGGGGAGCGAACCGG